AUACUAUUGAGGAGUCCAACAAUGGGACGAAAUGGCCAUCCAGUAC
rnacentral:hammerhead_ribozyme from 1 species